UACGUAGGGGGCUGGCGUUGUCCGGAUUUAUUGGGCGUAAAGAGCGUGUAGGCGGCCAGGUAGGUCUGCUGUGAAAACUCGAGGCUCAACCUCGAGAUGUCGGCGGAAACCAUCUGGCUAGAGUCCGGAAGAGGAGAGUGGAAUUCCUGGUGUAGCGGUGAAAUGCGCAGAUAUCAGGAAGAACACCCGUGGCGAAGGCGGCUCUCUGGGACGGUACUGACGCUGAGACGCGAAAGCGUGGGGAGCGAACAGG
rnacentral:rRNA from 1 species